GACGUAGGGCGCGAGCGUUGUCCGGAUUUAUUGGGCGUAAAGAGCUCGUAGGCGGCUUGUCGCGUCGACUGUGAAAACCCGCGGCUCAACCGUGUGGUCUGCAGUCGAUACGGGCAGGCUAGAGUUCGGUAGGGGAGACUGGAAUUCCUGGUGUAGCGGUGAAAUGCGCAGAUAUCAGGAGGAACACCGGUGGCGAAGGCGGAUCUCUGGGCCUUACCUGACGCUGAGGCGCGAAAGCUAGGGGAGCGAACAGG
rnacentral:rRNA from 1 species